GUCCCGUUCGUCUAGCGGUCAGGAUGGCUGGUUCUCAACCAGGCGGCAGGGGUUCGACUCCCCUACGGGAUA
rnacentral:tRNA from 1 species